rnacentral:rRNA from 1 species
AAAUUGAAGAGUUUGAUCAUGGCUCAGAUUGAACGCUGGCGGCAGGCCUAACACAUGCAAGUCGAGCGGUAACACAGAGAGCUUGCUCUCGGGUGACGAGCGGCGGACGGGUGAGUAAUGUCUGGGAAACUGCCUGAUGGAGGGGGAUAACUACUGGAAACGGUAGCUAAUACCGCAUAACGUCGCAAGACCAAAGUGGGGGACCUUCGGGCCUCAUGCCAUCAGAUGUGCCCAGAUGGGAUUAGCUAGUAGGUGGGGUAACGGCUCACCUAGGCGACGAUCCCUAGCUGGUCUGAGAGGAUGACCAGCCACACUGGAACUGAGACACGGUCCAGACUCCUACGGGAGGCAGCAGUGGGGAAUAUUGCACAAUGGGCGCAAGCCUGAUGCAGCCAUGCCGCGUGUGUGAAGAAGGCCUUCGGGUUGUAAAGCACUUUCAGCGGGGAGGAAGGCGUUAAGGUUAAUAACCUUGGCGAUUGACGUUACCCGCAGAAGAAGCACCGGCUAACUCCGUGCCAGCAGCCGCGGUAAUACGGAGGGUGCAAGCGUUAAUCGGAAUUACUGGGUGUAAAGCGCACGCAGGCGGUCUGUCAAGUCGGAUGUGAAAUCCCCGGGCUCAACCUGGGAACUGCAUUCGAAACUGGCAGGCUAGAGUCUUGUAGAGGGGGGUAGAAUUCCAGGUGUAGCGGUGAAAUGCGUAGAGAUCUGGAGGAAUACCGGUGGCGAAGGCGGCCCCCUGGACAAAGACUGACGCUCAGGUGCGAAAGCGUGGGGAGCAAACAGGAUUAGAUACCCUGGUAGUCCACGCCGUAAACGAUGUCGAUUUGGAGGUUGUGCCCUUGAGGCGUGGCUUCCGGAGCUAACGCGUUAAAUCGACCGCCUGGGGAGUACGGCCGCAAGGUUAAAACUCAAAUGAAUUGACGGGGGCCCGCACAAGCGGUGGAGCAUGUGGUUUAAUUCGAUGCAACGCGAAGAACCUUACCUGGUCUUGACAUCCACAGAACUUUCCAGAGAUGGAUUGGUGCCUUCGGGAACUGUGAGACAGGUGCUGCAUGGCUGUCGUCAGCUCGUGUUGUGAAAUGUUGGGUUAAGUCCCGCAACGAGCGCAACCCUUAUCCUUUGUUGCCAGCGGUUAGGCCGGGAACUCAAAGGAGACUGCCAGUGAUAAACUGGAGGAAGGUGGGGAUGACGUCAAGUCAUCAUGGCCCUUACGACCAGGGCUACACACGUGCUACAAUGGCAUAUACAAAGAGAAGCGACCUCGCGAGAGCAAGCGGACCUCAUAAAGUAUGUCGUAGUCCGGAUUGGAGUCUGCAACUCGACUCCAUGAAGUCGGAAUCGCUAGUAAUCGUAGAUCAGAAUGCUACGGUGAAUACGUUCCCUGGCCUUGUACACACCGCCCGUCACACCAUGGGAGUGGGUUGCAAAAGAAGUAGGUAGCUUAACCUUCGGGAGGGCGCUUACCACUUUGUGAUUCAUGACUGGGGUGAAGUCGUAACAAGGUAACCGUAGGGGAACCUGCGGUUGGAUCACCUCCUUA